rnacentral:tRNA from 1 species
UCCCUGGAGGUCCAGUGGUUAGGACUCCAUGCUUUCACUGCUGAGAUCCUGGGUUCAAUCCCUGGUCAGGGAA